rnacentral:rRNA from 1 species
UACGGAGGGUGCAAGCGUUAAUCGGAAUUACUGGGCGUAAAGCGUGCGUAGGCGGUUCGUUAAGUCUGUUGUGAAAGCCCCGGGCUCAACCUGGGAAUGGCAUUGGAAACUGGCGAGCUUGAGUGUGGCAGAGGGGGGUGGAAUUCCGCGUGUAGCAGUGAAAUGCGUAGAGAUGCGGAGGAACACCGAUGGCGAAGGCAGCCCCCUGGGCUAACACUGACGCCUCAGGCACGAAAGCGUGGGGAGC